GAUGGACUUCUUUACUGAAUUUGGUGAUAAUUCAUGAAGUCAUUGUCAUAAGGAGUUACACUGUUUUUUGUUCAGAUAUUGACCAACAUAUUGGUGAGAAGGUUGCAAUAAAGAAGACACACUAUCUUUGAGCACUUAUCUGAUGCUGCCCGGAUUCUCCUUCAGAUCAAAUUACACUGGCCAUUGAGACAUCCUAAAAUACUUGAGAUCAUGCAUAUAAUGUUACCACUAUCGAGCAGGGACUUCAAGGAUAUUAUGUUCUCUUUGAGUUGAUGAAUGCAGACCUCCACAAAUUCAUCGAGGUCAAUAAUGAAUUAACCAAAGAGCACCAUCUAUUAUCUCGAUCUGAUGCUAUACUCACUCAAAUUUAUUCAUAUUGAUACUAUACUUUUUUUUUCAAGUUGAAAACCGAGCUACUAUACAGUUUUCCAUUAUCUUGUUAUAAUCUUUCUUAUGUAUCUAUGCGCAUUUCUUUUUGUAUCCACGCUUCAGUAUUUAUGCUUUCAUACACUAAAUUAGGAGCAUAAUACAUAAUUUGGAGCAGUGCACUCACACAUAUUGACGAGUUCCUUUUCUAUUUAGAACGUGUACAUAUUCUCAACAGUGUGCUUUUCUGUGCAUUAUUCAUCAGCAGCAAAUCGAGCCUCUAGAAUAUGAACGCCGAGCUUUGGGAUCCGAGCAUGUGCAUCAACUCAACGCUGUUGAGAAAUGAGAUGACCAACUCAGUUCUGCUAUCGACAAGCCAAGUGCUGAUGAGGAUUGUCAUUUUCUCGAUGUUGUCAGUCCUAUGAAUUGCAUCGUAAAUGGCCUUGGAGAUGAGGCUAUUGCUACAGACAUUGAUGCAGAGGACAUGGUCAUGGUGGCAAAUCGCCAAUUUCAAAGAGUUGAUCAGCCUUGAGCACCUAAGGAGCUUGACCAUGGAUGGCUUUGGUACGUAGAGGUGUUGUCACCUGCAUGGUCGUUAUUACCUUUUCCUUUCUUUGAUGAUUUGUAAAUUCCUCCAUGCAAAUUACCAUUUUAGUUUUUAUGCCAUUAUUCCACUUUUGUGCACUUUUUAGGUUUUAUGCCAUUUUUCCAGGUUUGGAGAAGCCAUUAAAAAAAUCUACAGCUUCAAAAAAUGUUUAAGCACAGAGCAUACUAGAGGAUGUAGGUAGUCAUGUUACAAGGAGCACCUUAUUUUAGUUCUUCAGUCUUUCUUCAGAUUCAUUGUGUUUUUUAUAAAUGUAUAUUUGAAAUCA